UACAGAGGGUGCAAGCGUUGUUCGGAAUUAUUGGGCGUAAAGGGCGCGUAGGCGGCCGCGUAUGUCCGGUGUGAAAGCCCACCUCUUAAAGGUGGAAUUGCAUCGGAAACUACGUGGCUGGAGUGUCGGAGAGGAUGGUGGAAUUCCUGGUGUAGAGGUGAAAUUCGUAGAUAUCAGGAGGAACACCGGUGGCGAAGGCGGCCACCUGGACGACUACUGACGCUGAGGCGCGAAAGCGUGGGGAUCAAACAGG
rnacentral:rRNA from 1 species